rnacentral:rRNA from 1 species
UACAGAGGUCCCAAGCGUUGUUCGGAUUCACUGGGCGUAAAGGGUGCGUAGGUGGUGGGGUAAGUCUGAUGUGAAAUCUCCGAGCUUAACUCGGAACUGUCAGCUGAUACUGAUGUGCUAGAGUGCGGAAGGGGCAAUCGGAAUUCUUGGUGUAGCGGUGAAAUGCGUAGAUAUCAAGAGGAACACCUGAGGUGAAGACGGGUUGCUGGGCCGACACUGACGCUGAGUGCGCGAAAGCCAGGGGAGCAAACGGG